rnacentral:rRNA from 1 species
AUAGGGAAGCCGUAGAGAAAUCGAGUCCGAAUAGGGCGAUCAGUCGCUGGGUGUAGACCCGAAACCAAGUGAUCUACUCAUGGCCAGGAUGAAGGUGCGGUAACACGCCCUGGAGGUCCGAACCCACUAAUGUUGAAAAAUUAGGGGAUGAGCUGUGGGUAGGGGUGAAAGGCUAAACAAACUUGGAAAUAGCUGGUUCUCUCCGAAAACUAUUUAGGUAGUGCCUCAAGUAUCACCAUCGGGGGUAGAGCACUGUUAUGGCUAGGGGGUCAUUGCGACUUACCAAACCAUUGCAAACUCCGAAUACCGAUGAGUGCGAGCUUGGGAGACAGACGUCGGGUGCUAACGUCCGGCGUCAAGAGGGAAACAACCCAGACCGCCAGCUAAGGUCCCAAAGAUUGGCUAAGUGGAAAACGAAGUGGGAAGGCUAAAACAGUCAGGAUGUUGGCUUAGAAGCAGCCAUCAUUUAAAGAAAGCGUAAUAGCUCACUGAUCGAGUCGUCCUGCGCGGAAGAUGUAACGGGGCUAAGCCAGUCACCGAAGCUGCGGAUAUCCUUUAUUGGAUAUGGUAGGAGAGCGUUCUGUAAGCCUGCGAAGGUGUCUUGUAAAGGAUGCUGGAGGUAUCAGAAGUGCGAAUGCUGACAUGAGUAGCGAUAAUGGGGGUGAAAAGCCUCCACGCCGUAAGCCCAAGGUUUCCUGUUCAACGUUCAUCGGAGCAGGGUGAGUCGGCCCCUAAGGCGAGGCAGAGAUGCGUAGCUGAUGGGAAGCAGGUUAAUAUUCCUGCACCGUCGUAUGAUGCGAUGGGGGGACGGAUCGCGGAAGGUUGUCCAACUGUUGGAAUAGUUGGUUUUUGGCUCAUAGAAGGCACUUAGGCAAAUCCGGGUGCGGAAUUCAAGGGGUUGAGACGAGUGAAUUUAUUCACGAAGCAAUCGGAAGUGGUUCCAAGAAAAGCCUCUAAGCUUCAGUCAUACGAGACCGUACCGCAAACCGACACAGGUGGGCGAGAUGAGUAUUCUAAGGCGCUUGAGAGAACUCGGGAGAAGGAACUCGGCAAAUUGGUACCGUAACUUCGGGAAAAGGUACGCCCCGGUAGCUUGAUUGGUUUACUCCAUGAGGGUGAAAGGGUUGCAAUAAACUGGUGGCUGCGACUGUUUAAUAAAAACACAGCACUCUGCAAACACGAAAGUGGACGUAUAGGGUGUGACGCCUGCCCGGUGCUGGAAGAUUAAAUGAUGGGGUGCAAGCUCUUGAUUGAAGUCCCAGUAAACGGCGGCCGUAACUAUAACGGUCCUAAGGUAGCGAAAUUCCUUGUCGGGUAAGUUCCGACCUGCACGAAUGGCGUAACGAUGGCCACACUGUCUCCUCCCGAGACUCAGCGAAGUUGAAAUGUUUGUGAUGAUGCAAUCUACCCGCGGCUAGACGGAAAGACCCCAUGAACCUUUACUGUAGCUUUGCAUUGGACUUUGAACCAAUCUGUGUAGGAUAGGUGGGAGGCUUUGAAGCGGGGACGCUAGUUCUCGUGGAGCCAACCUUGAAAUACCACCCUGGUUUGUUUGAGGUUCUAACCUUGGUCCGUUAUCCGGAUCGGGGACAGUGCAUGGUAGGCAGUUUGACUGGGGCGGUCUCCUCCUAAAGUGUAACGGAGGAGUUCGAAGGUACGCUAGAUACGGUCGGACAUCGUGUUGAUAGUGCAAUGGCAUAAGCGUGCUUAACUGCGAGACUGACAAGUCGAGCAGGUACGAAAGUAGGACAUAGUGAUCCGGUGGUUCUGUAUGGAAGGGCCAUCGCUCAACGGAUAAAAGGUACUCUGGGGAUAACAGGCUGAUUCCUCCCAAGAGUUCAUAUCGACGGGGGAGUUUGGCACCUCGAUGUCGGCUCAUCACAUCCUGGGGCUGUAGCCGGUCCCAAGGGUAUGGCUGUUCGCCAUUUAAAGUGGUACGUGAGCUGGGUUUAAAACGUCGUGAGACAGUUUGGUCCCUAUCUGCCGUGGGCGUUGGAAAUUUGAAGGGGGCUGCUCCUAGUACGAGAGGACCGGAGUGGACGAACCUCUGGUGUACCGGUUGUCACGCCAGUGGCAUUGCCGGGUAGCUAAGUUCGGAAGAGAUAACCGCUGAAAGCAUCUAAGCGGGAAACUUGCCUUGAGAUGAGAUUUCCCAGAGCCUUGAGCUCUUUGAAGGGUCGUUCGAGACCAGGACGUUGAUAGGCUGGGUGUGGAAGUGCAGUAAUGCAUUAAGCUAACCAGUACUAAUUGCCCGUACGGCUUGUCCCU